rnacentral:rRNA from 1 species
GAUGAACGCUGGCGGCGUGCCUAAUACAUGCAAGUCGAACGAACAAACUAUAAGGUUGUUCCUCUUAGGAUGGCGGCUGGCGGAGGAGUAACACGUAGAUAACCUUCCUAUAAGACUGGGGAAAACUCGUUGGAUAGAGCCUUAUAACGUAUAAUAUUUUGUACCGCAUUGCUAAAUAGUAUAACAGCGUUUACAUGUUUCUUAUUGCUGACUCAUCGUCGCAUUAUCUAGUUGGUAAGGUAACGCCUUACCAAGGCAACGAUGCGUAGCCGACCUGAGAGGGUGAUCAGCCACACUGGAACUGAGACACGGUCCAGACUCCUACGGGAGGCAGCAGUAGGGAAUCUUGCGCAAUGGGCGAAAGCCUGACGCAGCAACACCGCGUGAGUGAAGAAGGCCUUCGGAUCGUAAAACCCUGUUGUUGGGGAAGAACAAAAGUAUGAGAAUAUAUGCACGUGCUGACGGUACCUAAACAGAAAGCCACGGCUAACUCCGUG